AAGAUAAAAUUGAAAGCUGCCUGCACCUGUUUAUGAAUAAAGAAGAUGUGGUUAAGACACUAUUCGAACUAGAUGGAAUUGACCCUGGUGUUACAAGCUUAGCAUGGAAUCAACUGGAGGAAGAGAAGCCAGAAAUUUUCAAGGAAUUUUACGCAAAGUUGAUUCUGGAAGAACCAAGCUCUACAUCCAAUCAAUUACUUGAGCAGAAAAACGAGCUUGAGAAUUUCCUUGCAUGUCUAGAUGAUCCCUUGGCUUUUAUUGAGGAAGACUUUCAACACAUUCCAGGCACAAGUUGGAGUCCAAGUGCUGGACAGAUGAAACUCCUUGACAUUCUACCCUGGGGAGACACCAUUCCGCUAGAGGUUCCAAUUCCAUCUGGUGAUCCCUAUAUUGAUUCCCUGAGCACUGUUUCCUGCAGACAACUUGUAAAUGAUGAAAACCCUGCAUCUGACAGUUUCCAUCCAGCACAAAUGAAUUUUGAGAGAUUGAUGGCCAUGGACAGAAAUGCAGCUGAUAUAGCACGUGUCCCAUUCUUUAUAAAUUUGGAGGUUCUGAAUCCUGCAUCAGUUGCAGACAAUGAUCAAACAGAGGCAGAACAUGAUCCGAUCUUAUCUUGUCUGAACUCUCCUGAGCAACCUGGGCCUGUCUUCGGUUACUUGACCGAUACAAGUGGUUCUGCUAUAUUGCCUGAUCUUCCCGACUCAAAUUUCAAUCCUGGUAAUAGCAUAUUGCCUGACACUCCAGAGACAAAUUUCCAUCCAGAUUUCGGUACUUUACUUGAUCCUCCAAAGCCAAAAAUCGAUGUUGAUGAUUACUUCAACGUUUCUUCCUUGGACUCUCAAUCAGAAGAAGAAUCUUAAGGCAAGGCCUUACAAUAUUAAUCAUGUCGGGAGUUGGAUCGCCUAGAUGUAGCUCAGACUAGAAAAAACCACUGAUUAUCUUGCCUGUAUGGAACAUCUAGUGCGUCAAGGAAGCAGGAGAAGAAAGAUUCCCAGCAAGGAUAUCUCGUGAGCCCCCAAGAAACCACCAAAAUCUCUCGAAUGGAGGUGCUCCUGUGGCGUGCUCUAGUUCAGCGCCACCAAGAAACCACCAAAAUCCUACAGGUGGGCUCUAGUUCUGUGCCACUGAGAAACCAACAAAAUCGUACGCAUGGAGGUGCUAUUGUGGCAGGCUCUAGUUCAGUGAAACCAAGAAACCAACAAGAUCUAACAAAAGAAGGUGCUCUUAUGGCGGGCUCUAGUUCAGUGCCACCACAGCGUGUUCUGCAGGAUUCUAUUACAUCUCAUAAUGCUUCAUUGGCUCCCAUUCAAGAAGGCAAUCAACCCAUACCAGGUAAAUUCUUUCCACAACAUUCUACCAUAAUGUGCCCGUGCCCGUGGGGAUUAAACCCAAACUACUUUGCUACUAAGGCUCAUUUAUGACUCCUCAUCUUCCUAUUAAAAAAACUACACCUGGUGCUCCCUGCAAGUAUGUAAAUGUUGUAUGCAAUUGCUGGAGCAUCUCCCCUUAUGGCUACCUUCCUUUUAAAGUUCUUGCCGGAUCAUGACACAAAAAUGCAGUGACUUUCGACAAUCUUAUGGGAGUCAUAAACACUAGGAUUCAAGGGAGAGGUUUUAGACCUCAUAAAAUAUCAUUGAAGAUUAAAUGUUGCCAAGGAUAACCUUUCCUUCUGUUCUGUUCUGUGCUAUGUUUAUCCGCUGCUUGCCUUUAUACGCUAGGUUUCAAAUUCUUGACAUAUCAAAUUAUGUACCUUUUCCAACAGCUCUGACAUUUUUCUUUUCGUGAAUCAAUUGGAGAAAGAGAAACCAGAACUGUUUAAAGACUAUUAGACAAAGUUUGGUAUCUGGAAAUAUUCGAAUGCAUUCAACUAGUACUCGAGACAUUUUGAGAACAAAUAAACCUAUCCAAGCACAACAACAUAAGCAAUUUCCUUAAUUUUCACUUAACUGUUUUUAAGUCGUUAUUCAUCAUGCAGGACCUCCUCCUUGUUUUCGUUAUGCAAGCCUUAAAUUCUCAGUCAUGCCGCUGAAGUAGAAGUGCUUAGUCUAACUUGUCAUUACAACAUUUGUGCUAGUGAUGGUUUCUUUUUCUGUAUCACAGUCGAUAGUCUUGCCCCCACAGAUUCCAAAUACAUCAACUGCUCACUUCUAGACUGAUUCCAGGAGCCUUAUUUCCAGCUAUCACAACGAAAACCCUGCAUCUGGCAGUUUAUGCCCGGCACAGAUGAAUUAUGGGAGAGGAUGAAAAUUCCUUCUGGCAGCUAUCCAACUGGAACUUGAUGAAUCUAGGUGUAACAGCUUCGGGAUGCUUCAUAUGCUUGCAGCAACCAGUGGCAAAGUGCCGACUUCCCGCUAGUGGUUUCUAUAUCUCAUUGAGUGUAUUCUAAAUGCUACUAUAUAAACUAUACCAACGUAUGCGUAACAUUAUAGAGUUAGAUCAAUUUGGUAAGCAUAUAUCCGACUGGAACUUGAUGAAUCUAGGUGUAACAGCUUCGGGAUGUGGAAUACAUGUGAGUAAUCAGUGUGCUACAUGCACUGAAUCUAUUUGAAAUGGAAGGAGUUCAGGGAUAUGCUGUUCCUGAGUAGGGGCAAGCAAUUGAGUAGGUUCCAUAGGCCUGGUCUAGUGCACGUUUAUGUGAGCAUAAGUCUGUAUUUACUUGGAUGAAUAUCGACAAAUGCACUGAUAAAAAAUCAUGCAAAUUAUCAGAUGGUUUAGCGGGAAUAAUUGAGAAUACUUGGGUAUAAACUGCCAUAUACUUACCGCUAUUCUGUUUGUUGAAGGGUGGUGGUGGAAGGCAACGCACCUAACAGGGUACCUUCCUUAACACGGUUAGAGAUUCUGAAUCCUGCAUCAGUUGCAUAUGACAAUCAAAAUGUAUCAGCUUUUCGUGUAGGAUACAUUCCAAACUCUUUUUCCCCGAACCUUCCACCAGAGCAACAUGGACCUGGUUUCGGUAAGUUGAUUGACGUAAAAAGUGACAUGAAGGCAAUGCACCUGACAGGGUACCUUCCUUAACACGGUCAGAGAUUCUGAAUCCUGCACCAGUUGCAUAUGACAAUCAAAAUGUAUCAGCUUUUCGUGUAGGAGACAUUCCAAACUCUUUUUCCCCAAACCUUCCACCAGAGCAACAUGGACCAGGUUUCGUUCACAACCUACAUCAGGGAUGUAACAAUCCACCCCGGCUUCCACAUCCAUCUACUGGUCAUCUCCAAAUUGAUUCCACAAGCCCUAUUUCCAGCUCUCUCAAAGCAAACCCUGCAUCAAGCAGUUUCUGCUCAGCACAGAUGAUUAAUU